GGGAAUGUGGCUUGGUGGUAAAGUGCUUGCCUAGCAUGCAUGAAGACCUAGGUUCGAUUCCUCAGUACCA
rnacentral:tRNA from 1 species